rfam:Gossypium raimondii Chr06_contig_63, whole genome shotgun sequence.
UAUUAAAGAUUUCAUCCAUUUAUAUUGUUAAAAACUGGCGAGAUUAACAAAAUAAUCAGACAGUUACACAUAAUGUGCCACGUAUACCUCAUUUUGACGUAUAAUGAUAAAUUUUUUAAAAGAAGAAAUAGAUGAAAUUUUUAUUA